rfam:Archaeon Odin LCB_4 OdinLCB4_contig000007, whole genome shotgun sequence.
GUGGCAUGUGCGCUUAAGCCUUCUGGUGGAUGGCUAGGCUUGGGAGUCGAUGAAGGCCGUGGCAAGCUGCGAUAAGCUCCGGGUAGGCGCAUGCAGCCUUCGAUCCGGAGAUCGCCGAAUGGGACUUCCCGCCAAGCCCUAAUAAGGUUUGGCACUCCCUUAUGGGAGGGAGAACCCCCCGAACUGAAGCAUCUUAGUAGGGGGAGGAAGAGAAACCAAUAGGGAUUCCCUGAGUAGGGGCGACUGAAAGGGGAAAAGGGCAAACCGAAUCCUUUAAGGAAACUUAAAGGAGAUGUGGAGUUCAGGGCCUCGCCUCUACCUCUUCUGAGAAGUCGAAUUCAUCUGGAAAGAUGAACCAUAGAGGGUGAUAGUCCCGUAGACGUAAUCAGAAAGGUAUUUGGUGGGUGUCCCAGAGUACCGUGGGUCGGUAUUCCCGCGGAAAGAUGGGAGGCACCAACUCCCAACCCUAAAUACUACCCAAGACCGAUAGCGCAAUAGUACCGUGAGGGAAAGCUGAAAAGUACUCCGGUAGGAGGGUGAAAAGCGUCUGAAACCAGAAGGUUAAAGAGGGGCGUGGCCUGAAAGGGUAGAGUCUUCCCGAAGGAAACGAGGGAAGAGGACCAGGGUCGCGCCUUCCGUCUCGAAUCACGGGCCGGGGAGUUUAUAAUCGUGGCGAGUCUAAGGAGUUCAUCUCCGGUGACGAAGGGAAACCGAUAAGCUCGCAGCCGGCUUGACCGGUGAGGAGCAGGGUCUGAAAGGGCCCGGAGUCACGAUUAUAAAACCCGAAACCAGGCGAUCUAUCCCUGAGUAAGUCGAAGCCAAGGGAAACCUUGGUGGAGGACUGAAGGGGUGCUGACGUGCAAUUCGCUCCCAUAACUUGGGGAUAGGGGCAAAAGACCAAUCUAGCCUGGUGAUAGCUGGUUCCCUCCGAAGUUGGGUCCCAGCCAAGCCCAGUCAGAGGUAGCCUGUGAGGUAGAGCACUAAUUGGGAAGUUAGGAGGCGCGAGCCUUCGCUUCCCUUUUAAACUCCGAACUUGCAGGCGCCGUAGAAGACUGGAGACGGGUUUCAGGGGGUAAGCUCCUGAACCGAGAGGGGAACAACCCAGACUGGGGUUAAGGUCCCAAAGUGUCGGCUAAGUGUAAAAACGAAGGGCGUCCGUAUCCUUAGACAGUGGGAAGGUAGGCUUAGAAGCAGCCAUCCUUCAAAGAGUGCGUAAUAGCUCACCCACCGAGGAUGCGGGCCCCGAAAAUGGACGGGGCUAAAGCCGGCCACCGAUACCCCAGAGCACAACGUACGUUGUGAUCUGGUAGGAGGGCGUUCCGGUUGGGUAGAAGCUGGGCCGUGAGGUCCAGUGGACCGAUCGGAAGUGCAGAUCCCGGUAGUAGUAACAGCGCAGCCGAGUGAGAAUCUCGGCCGCCGAAAGGGCAAGGGUUCCUCGGCGAUGCGUCAUCAGCCGAGGGUAAGUCGGUCCUAAGACACUCCGUAACUCGAGAGUGUCGAAAGGGAAACCGGUUUAUAUUCCGGUACCAUGGUGGUACGUGUGGCGACACAAGCCUGUUUUCCGACGUUUUCGGAUAGGUCGAGCAGGGUCUUCGCCCUGUCUAAGCGCAUAACCUUGGGGAGAGCCGUAACGGCGAGAACCAAGAGAAAGCGCGAAUGGGCUCCCGUUAUAGGGGGCUUCGAUCGAGUCCGAGAACCCGUGAAAAGGAAAACAGGAAGGAUCCACCAUGCCCGUACCAAGAACCGACACAGGUGCCCCUAGGUGAGGAGCCUAAGGUGUAUCAGGGUAAUCUAGGCAAGGGAAAUCGGCAAAUUAGCCCCGUACCUUCGGAAGAAGGGGUGCCUGGGGUCUUGAGCUUAGCUCGGGAUCCUAGGUCGCAGUGACUAGGGGGUGCUGACUGUUUAAUAAAAACAUAGGUUUCCGCUAGCCCGUAAGGGUGUGUACGGAAGCUGAAUCCUGGCCAGUGGCGGUCCGUGAAAGCCGGGUUCAACCGGAAGAAGCGCCGCUAAACGCCGGGAGUAACUAUAACUCUCUUAACGGGAAAUCUCAACGAUUUCUCGAGAGACAGGUAGCCAAAUGCCUUGUCGGAUAAGUACCGACGUGCAUGAAGGGAACAACGAGCGCCCCGCUGUCCCUGCCUAGAACCUGGUGAACCUACAGCCUAGCGAACAGUCUAGGGACCCCCAGCGGGAAAAGAAGACCCCGUGGAGCUUUACUGCAGCUUACAGCUGGGGUACGGUUGUGGAUGCAGAGUGUAGGUGGGAGCCGUCGAUCUUAACCUCUUCGGGGGUUAAGGGAGGCGCCAAUGGAACACCACCCUUCUAUGACUGUAUCCCUAAUCCGAGGUUCGCCUCGGUGACACCUGUAGGUGGGCAGUUUGGCUGGGGCGGCACGCCUCUGAAAAGAUAUCAGAGGCGCCCAAAGGUCGGCUCAGGCGGGUCAGAAGUCCGCCGUAGAGGGCAAGGCCAAAAGCCGGCCUGACAGGAUUCUGAAUCGAAAGGAAUCCUGAGUCGAAAGACUGGCCUAGCGAUCCUUCAUGUCCCUCUUGGUGAGGGCUGGAGGUGUCAGAAAAGUUACCCCGGGGAUAACAGAGUCGUCGCGGGCAAGAGUCCACAUCGACCCCGCGGCUUGCUACCUCGAUGUCGGUUCUUCCUAUCCUGGUGGUGCAGCAGCCACCAAGGGUGAGGUUGUUCGCCUAUUAAAAGGGAACGUGAGCUGGGUUUAGACCGUCGUGAGACAGGUCGGAUUUUAUCUGCUGGGGGUGCUGGCUAUCUGAGGGUAAGGUGCCUUCAGUACGAGAGGAACGAGGCGCCGCGGCCACUAGUUUACCGGUUGUCCGAGCGGGCAAUGCCGGGCAGCCACGCCGUAAGCGGUAAGGGCUGAAAGCAUCUAAGCCUGAAACGCGGCCCGAAAAGAGAUAGCCAUUCCCUGAUCGCGGGUUAACCCGACCAUAAUAGGCGACUAUUAUGGUUGAUCGGGGACGAGGGCUCCGGUAGAAGACCGGGUUGAUAGAGCGGGUGUGUACGCUAGAAGGCUUCGGCCGACUAGCUUAGCAUGCCGCUACUAAUCGCCCGAGCGUCGUGCUGU